rnacentral:miRNA from 1 species
CGGAGGGCGCUAUUCCAA